rnacentral:rRNA from 1 species
UACGUAGGGGGCAAGCGUUGUCCGGAUUUAUUGGGCGUAAAGAGCGUGUAGGCGGCCAUACAGGUCAGCUGUGAAAACUCGAGGCUCAACCUCGAGACGUCGGUUGAAACCGUAUGGCUAGAGUCCGGAAGAGGAGAGUGGAAUUCCCGGUGUAGCGGUGAAAUGCGCAGAUAUCGGGAAGAACACCCGUGGCUAAGGCGGUUCUCUAGUACGGUACUGACGCUGAGACGCGAAAGCGUGGGGAGCGAACAGG